GUGCAAUUAUCCUCCUGCUGAACUGUACCCAAUCUAUGCUCAGAAAUCAACCACCAACCUUCUUGAGAAGUUUAAGAGCAUGCAAAUUGAUGAAAACGACGAUCCAACUGAAAAUGGACAGCACGAUCAUGAGGAGACUCUGGGGAACGAGGAAAAUCAUGGACAAGAAGCUGUGGUUGAAGAGGACGCUAGUUCCACAAAUGGUAUUGUUAUUUUAGAUAGUAAGGAGGAUGAAGAAGAAUUGGGAGCAAAGGAUGAGAACAGUUCACCACAAAAAUUGGAAGUUAAAGACGAGAGCACUUCAGCAGAUGAAUUGGAAGCAAAGUAUGAGAACACUUCACCAUCCUAAGGUGAUGCUUUGCUGAAAGUAUGAAGUGAACAUAGGAUACAUUACCAGUUCCACAGGACAAGCUAGGUCCAGCUGUUAUACGCAUAUCUUCUGGUGAGAAAAAUGUUUCUACUUUAGCUUAUUUUUCAUU